GCGGUAUUUGGCUUGCUUUGGCUUUGCCAGCACCGGAACGCAUGUUUCAUUUGGCGCCAGAGCUGCUGCACCACAGUUCAUCGCGCUCUAGCUUGGCUGGCCGGCCUAUAGUUCGGCUGCAACGAAGAGAUUGCGCUGAGUUAGCGCUUUUGCAAACAAAGAAAUAUAAAAACGCUGGGUUGCAGCGUUUGUGAGCGCAUGCGCUGAGGCAGCUGCUCAUCGCCGCGCCGAUGCGAGCCACGUGAAACACGCCGAACUGUACAAUGGACCAAAGUUUCGGUGAUCCUGGCGUCGUUGGCGUGACCUAUCCGACCACACCGGCCGCUGCCUUGCACGUUGGAAGCGCAGGGCCCAAGACACGGAAUGUCAAGUUGGGCUUGUCACGUCGUGUACUGGCGUGGUGUGAAGAAUCUUUUCAGAGAGCUGGUGCACACAGGAAGGAAGACGGCCCCAGGAAUUAGAUGAGGGAGUUUCUCGCCACAAUUGCCACAUAGCAAGCCGUUGCAUGGAACGGGCGGCGAAAGGCACUGCACUAAAGUUAUGGACAAUGAAGCAAGGGUUACAGGUGGCACGCAUUCAUAGUGCCACCUGAAUACAGCCACCCAACUCCUGCUGCGCCUCCUCCUCCUGCCGCACAGCCAGGUCCAUGAUUGCCACCUGAUGAGCUAGAGCAACCACACUCGGAAGAUGGGUUCAGAGAACGCAGGCAUAUUAUUCGUUACAAUUCUCUCUAAGAACACAUAAACAGCACUGCUAUCGAAGGAAAAUUAUUGUUAUUGCAAGUGCU